CUUGCUUCUAAGCCUUUUGGCUAAGAUCGAGUGUAGUAUCUGUUCUGAUUGGUUUAAAGUGAUUAAACAAAGGGAUCUGUGAUAUACUCCAC
ensembl:snRNA U2 U2 spliceosomal RNA